UGGGGAUGUAGCUCAGUGGUAUAGCGCAGGCUUAGCAUGCAUGAGGUCCUUGGUUUCAUUCCCAGUACUAA
rnacentral:tRNA from 1 species